UUUGUAUAUAUAUAUAUAUAUAUAUAUAAUUGUAUAUAUAAUUAUUAAAAAUAAUUAUUAAAUUAAUAUUUUUAGUAUUUUAUAAAAAAAAAAUAAUUUUAAUUAUAGUUUAUUAAUAUUGUAAAAGAAAAUUAAAAUAUUUUGAAAAAUUUUUAUUAAAAAAGAAAAUUUAAUUUAUUGUACCUUUUGUAUCAGGGUUUAUUAAUUAAAUAUUAUUUAUAGUAAUUUUUUCGAUUUUAAAAGAUUUAAUAUAAUAUAAAAUUUAUUGUUAUAAAAAUAUUUUUCAUAUUAUAUUGGUAAUGAAAUGUUAUUCGUUUUUAAAAAUAUCUAGUUUUUUAAGAAAUAAAUUUAAUUUAUAAAUUUUAUAUUAUUUAAUUAGAUAAAUUAAUUAAAUAAAUAUUUAAUUUUAAUAUUUUAUGGGAUAAGCUAUAAAAUAAAUUUUUAAAAAUUAUUAAAUUAAAUUAGUAAAAAUAUAAAUUUAGAAAUAGUUAUUAUUAAUGAAAAUGUUAUAAUUUAUUUUAUUUUAUACAUAUUAUUUAUUUUAAUUUUAAUUAAUUUAUUAAAAUAUUUAUUUUAAUAUAAAAAAUAAAAUAAUUAUGAUAAAAUUAGUAUAUAAUAUAUAUAUAUAUAUAUAUAUAAAUAUAUUUAAAUGAGAAUUUUUUUUAAAGAAUUAGGCAAAAAUAAUAUUCGCCUGUUUAACAAAAACAUGUCUUUUUUUUAUUAUUAAAAAGUUUAACCUGCCCACUGAUUUUUUUAAAUGGCUGCAGUAUAUUAACUGUGCAAAGGUAGCAUAAUCAUUAGUUUUUUAAUUGAAAGCUGGUAUGAAUGGUUGGACGAAAUAUUAACUGUUUCAUAAAAAUUUAAUAUAAAAUUUUAUUUUUUAGUUAAAAAGCUAAAAUUUAUUUAAUAGACGAGAAGACCCUAUAAAUCUUUAUAUUAUUAUAAUUAUAAUAAAUCUUUAUAAAUUUUUAUUGUUAUAUUAUAAAAAUAUUUUAUUGGGGUGAUAUAAAAAUUUAAUAAACUUUUUAUUAUUUAUUACAUUAAUUUAUGUAUAAUUGAUCCAUUAAUAAUGAUUAAAAAUUUAAGUUACUUUAGGGAUAACAGCGUAAUUUUUUUGGAGAGUUCAUAUUAAUAAAAAAGAUUGCGACCUCGAUGUUGGAUUAAGAAAUAAUAUUAGGGGUAGUUGCUUAAUUAAUUAAGUCUGUUCGACUUUUAAUUUCUUACAUGAUCUGAGUUCAAACCGGCGUAAGCCAGGUUGGUUUCUAUCUUUAAAAAUUUAAAAUAUUUUAGUACGAAAGGACCAAAUAUUUAAUAAAUUAAUAUUUUUAUUAUUGAAUUUAAUUAA
rnacentral:rRNA from 1 species